GUCAUUAGUUGCUACAUUCAGUUGGGCACUCUAAUGGAGACUGCCGGUGACAAGCCGGAGGAAGUGGGGAUGACGUCAAGUCCUCAUGGCCCUUAUAGGUGGGGCUACACACGUCAUACAAUGGCUGGUACAAAGGGUUGCCAACCCGCGAGGGGGAGCCAAUCCCAUAAAGCCAGUCGUAGUCCGGAUCGUAGUCUGCAACUCGACUACGUGAAGUCGGAAUCGCUAGUAAUCGUGGAUCAGAAUGUCACGGUGAAUACGUUCCCGGGUCUU
rnacentral:rRNA from 1 species